AAAAGAAUGACACUGAUGAAGACACUGAGGACAUCCAGGACAGAAAAAACAGUGAAGACAAUGAGAAACCUGUCAACAAGGAGAUAAGUGAACAUGAGGACAGUGACGAUACUGACACUGAUGAAGACACUGAGGUCAGUGAGGACAGUGAGAACAGUGACACCAGCGACGUUAGCAAAGAUUAUCAGUCCAGGAAGGUCGAGCAGAACCGUCAGUACGCUGAAGACAGCGGAAAAGAGCAGAGCAAAAAGAAAAAGAAGAAGAGGAACUGCUUCCAACGCGUCUUCUCUUGGAUGAAGAAGACGUUCUGCUGCUGCUGCUGUGUGUCCGAUGUGAUGGACUGAGCAGCACUAAUGGACUGGAUUCACAUUUCGGACUCACAGUUCCUGACCUCAGUAACCUUCGCUGGGUUUAUUGUUCUCUUGUGUUUUGAUCUGUUUUCUUUCUACUAUCCUGUUCUUUCUCUCCUUUACCUUCAGCCCAACCGGUCGAGGCAGAUGGCCGCCCUCUCAGAGCCUGGUUCUGCCGGAGGGUUCUUCCUGUUAAAAGGGAGUUUUUCCUCCCCGCUGUCGCCAAGUGCUUGCUCUAAGGGGAAUCCAAAGGAUUUGUUGGGAUUCUGUCUUUAAUUAUUAACGUAUUAAUCGUCACCUUAUCAUGUAAAGUGACUUGAGACAUCUGUUACGAACUGACAGUAUGUAAAUUAGGACAGUAGUGUUAAAUAUUAUGUACUUAAAUAGUACAAAAUAAGUACAAAAUAGAUUACAAUAUUAAUUACAUAUAGAAUAAUAUUUUAUAUUAAAAUACGCAAGUAUGUUAUUUGUAAAUAUAAUAUGCAGUAUAUACAAUACACAAUUUGUGUAUUGUAUAUAUAUAAAGUCAGACAGACUGACUGCCAGUAAGCAAAGGCUUACUCCAAAUAACGUAACUUACUUGCUAACAUAGAAUUCAAUUUAAUUCAAAAAACUAAAAUGACUUAAUCAUAAUAUAUUUUAUUUAUAAUGCACUUUUCAUUUAAGCAAAGUGCUGCAUUAAAGACAUAAAAGGAUAAAAAAAGCAGUAAAAAUAAAAAAUAAAAAAAAACAAAUUUAAAACACCUAGACCAAUUGGAUCAAAAAAUAAAUAAUUCAAAAUGAAAUGACACGUGCUUGUCUUUAAUAUACUGCGAAAGUAUUAUUACAAAAACAGUUCAUCUGAAGUCAGCUUUUUAAAAUUUGGACUACAUGACAGAUAUGACUAAUUUAUUUUCUGAUUUCUACCAAAUAUUCUAGCAGGUGAUUCGUCAUGAUGAAGAGAUGUCAGAUUGUAUGUAACGGUGUUGGUUGCUUCUGUUAGCAAGUCAACACAUUGAAGCAUUUCUGAAGAGCAUUGAACAUAUAUAUUCCUGUUAAAGUGGAGGAAGAUGAAAAUGACAGACUAGUUGACACCACUGUGAAGCCACCAAUGGAUGUAUACCAAGACAAUGUGGAGUCCAUGCAAUGCUAUGUGUGUGUGACAGAUGUCAAUGAACUACAAAGACACAUUUGUAGUUCUCCACUCCGAAUAAUUGACUAGAUUCACAUUGUGGAGUUGCGGUUCCUGGCCUCAUCAACCUGGAAGUGUUUGUUGUUCUCUUGUGCUUUGUCUGUCAGUUUUCUAUCUACUAUCCUAUUCUCUCUCCCCUUUACCCUCACCCCAACCGGUCGAGGCAGAUGGCUGCCCACCCUGAGCCUGGUUCUGCCGGAGGGUUCUUCCUGUUAAAAGGGAGUUUUUCCUCCCCACUGUUGCCAAGUGCUUGCUCAGAUGGGAAUCCAAAGGAAACUUUGGAUUUGUUGGAUUUCUCUCUAUGAUAUAUUUGAAUUGAUAAAUAAAAUUGAUUUAAAAUGAAUUGAAAGGUUCACCCAAAGUGUCUGGAUUUUGGUCACAUGGUUGUUGCUC
ensembl:lncRNA